rnacentral:rRNA from 1 species
GAUGAACGCUGGCGGCGUGCCUAAUACAUGCAAGUCGAGCGAACAGACGAGGAGCUUGCUCCUUUGACGUUAGCGGCGGACGGGUGAGUAACACGUAGGUAACCUACCUAUAAGACUGGGAUAACUUCGGGAAACCGGAGCUAAUACCGGAUAAUAUUUCGAACCGCAUGGUUCGAUAGUGAAAGAUGGCUUUGCUAUCACUUAUAGAUGGACCUGCGCCGUAUUAGCUAGUUGGUAAGGUAACGGCUUACCAAGGCAACGAUACGUAGCCGACAUGAGAGGGUGAUCGGCCACACUGGAACUGAGACACGGUCCAGACUCCUACGGGAGGCAGCAGUAGGGAAUCUUCCGCAAUGGGCGAAAGCCUGACGGAGCAACGCCGCGUGAGUGAUGAAGGUCUUCGGAUCGUAAAACUCUGUUAUUAGGGAAGAACAAACGUGUAAGUAACUGUGCACGUCUUGACGGUACCUAAUCAGAAAGCCACGGCUAACUACGUG